rnacentral:rRNA from 1 species
CAGUCGCCACGGUAAAACGUAUGGUGCAAGCGUUAAUCGGAAUUACUGGGCGUAAAGCGUGCGCAGGCGGUUAUAUAAGACAGAUGUGAAAUCCCCGGGCUCAACCUGGGAACUGCAUUUGUGACUGUAUAGCUAGAGUACGGCAGAGGGGGAUGGAAUUCCGCGUGUAGCAGUGAAAUGCGUAGAUAUGCGGAGGAACACCGAUGGCGAAGGCAAUCCCCUGGGCCUGUACUGACGCUCAUGCACGAAAGCGUGGGGAGCAAACAGGAUUAGAUACCCCUGUAGUCCCUGUCUCUUAUAC